GAACUUAGCUUAGUGGCGGACGGGUGAGUAACGCGUGAGUAACCUGCCUUUCAGAGGGGGAUAACGUUCUGAAAAGAACGCUAAUACCGCAUAAUAUAUUGGUGUCGCAUGGCACCGGUAUCAAAGGAGCAAUCCGCUGAAAGAUGGACUCGCGUCCGAUUAGCCAGUUGGCGGGGUAAAGGCCCACCAAAGCGACGAUCGGUAGCCGGGUUGAGAGACUGAACGGCCACAUUGGGACUGAGACACGGCCCAGACUCCUACGGGAGGCAGCAGUGGGGGAUAUUGCACAAUGGAGGAAACUCUGAUGCAGCAAUGCCGCGUGAGGGAAGACGGUCUUCGGAUUGUAAACCUCUGUCCUUGGUGAAGAUAAUGACGGUAGCCAAGGAGGAAGCUCCGGCUAACUACGUGCCAGCAGCCGCGGUAAUACGUAGGGAGCAAGCGUUGUCCGGAUUUACUGGGUGUAAAGGGUGCGUANGCGGCUCUUUAAGUCGGGCGUGAAAGCUGUGGGCUUAACCCACAAAUUGCGUUCGAAACUGGAGGGCUUGAGUGAAGUAGAGGUAGGCGGAAUUCCCGGUGUAGCGGUGAAAUGCGUAGAGAUCGGGAGGAACACCAGUGGCGAAGGCGGCCUACUGGGCUUUAACUGACGCUGAGGCACGAAAGCAUGGNUAGCAAACAGGAUUAGAUACCCUNNNAGUCCAUGCCGUAAACGAUGAUUACU
rnacentral:rRNA from 1 species